GCCAGGUAUGGUGGCACAUGCCUGUAAUCCCAGCUGCUUGGGAGGCUGAGACAGAAAGAUCAUGAGUUCAAAGCCAGCCUCAGCAAAGGCAAGCCUAAACAACUCAGUGAGACCCUGUCUCUA
rnacentral:sRNA from 1 species